rnacentral:rRNA from 1 species
AGGGUGCAGGGCGGAUGCCUUGGCACUAGGAGCCGAUGAAGGACGUGAUAAGCUGCGAUAAGCUUCGGGGAGUUGCACGUAAACUUUGAUCCGAAGAUUUCCGAAUGAGGAAACUCACUUAGAGUAAUGUCUAAGUAUCAUUAAGUGAAUACAUAGCUUAAUGAGGGGAACUCAGGGAACUGAAACAUCUAAGUACCUGAAGGAAGAGAAAGAAAUUCGAUUCCGUAAGUAGCGGCGAGCGAACGCGGAUUAGCCCAAACCAAUAAAGUUUUCUUUAUUGGGGUUGCGGACAUAUCAUAACGAAGAGGUAUCGUAAUUGAAGAGGUUUGGAAAGACCCACCACAGAAGGUAAUAGUCCUGUAUGUUAAACGAGAAGACUUUAGAUAUGAUCCAGAGUACCACGGGACACGUGAAACCCUGUGGGAAGCAGGAGGGACCACCCUCCAAGGCUAAAUACUACCUAGUGACCGAUAGCGUAUAGUACCGUGAGGGAAAGGUGAAAAGAACCCCGGGAGGGGAGUGAAAUAGAACCUGAAACCCUGCACUUACAAGCUGUGGAAGCACAUUUCUUGUGUGACCGCGUACUUUUUGUAGAACGGGCCAACGAGUUACGUUAAGUAGCAAGGUUAAGCACUUAAGGUGUGGAGCCGUAGCGAAAGCGAGUUUUAACUGAGCGUUCAGUUACUUGACGUAGACCCGAAACCGGGCGACCUACCCAUGAGCAGGAUGAAGCGAAAGUAAAAUUUCGUGGAGGUCCGAACCCACGAGCGUUGAAAAGCUCGGGGAUGACUUGUGGGUAGCGGUUAAAUUCCAAUCGAGCCCGGAGAUAGCUGGUUCUCCCCGAAAUAGCUUUAGGGCUAGCCUCAAGGUGAGAGAUACGGAGGUAGAGCACUGAAUGUCCUAGGGGGUAUUGCACCUACCGAAGACUAUCAAACUCCGAAUGCCGUCAUCUUAUACUUGGGAGUCAGACUGUGGGUGAUAAGAUUCAUAGUCGAAAGGGCAACAGCCCAGAUCGUCAGCUAAGGUCCCUAAAUGUAAGUUAAGUGGUAAAGGAUGUGGGAUUGCACAGACAACCAGGAUGUUGGCUUAGAAGCAGCCACUCAUUCAAAGAGUGCGUAAUAGCUCACUGGUCGAGUGAUCCUGCGCCGAAGAUUUCCGGGGCUAAAACUUACUACCGAAGCUACGGCAUCAGUAAUGAUGGGUAGGGGAGCUUCCCAUACGGGUUGAAGCAUGACCGUAAGGACAUGUGGACAGUAUGGGAGUGAGAAUGUUGGCAUGAGUAGCGAGAUGUGGGUGGGAAUCCCACAGGCCGUAAACCCAAGGUUUCCAGGGGAAGGUUCGUCCGCCCUGGGUUAGUCGGGACCUAAGCUGAGGCCGAAAGGCGUAGGUGAUGGACAACAGGUUGAUAUUCCUGUACUACCGAUAACCAUUUGAGAGAUGGGAUGACACAGUAGGAUAAGCUAAGCACACUGUUGGUUAUGUGUGCCCAAGCAUUGAGGCAGUCAAAGUAGGCAAAUCCGCUUUGAUAAUGCUGGGAUGUGAUGGGGAGCGAAAUUUAGUAGCGAAGUAGCUGAUUUCACACUGUCAAGAAAAGUCUCUAUCGAGGUUAAAGGUACCCGUACCGCAAACCGACACAGGUGGGUGAGGAGAGUAUCCUAAGGCCAGCGAGAGAACUGUUGUUAAGGAACUCGGCAAAAUGACCCCGUAACUUAGGGAUAAGGGGUGCCACCAUCAGGUGGCCGCAGAGAAUAGGCCCAAGCGACUGUUUACCAAAAACAUAGGUUUCUGCUAAGUCGCAAGACGAUGUAUAGGAGCUGACGCCUGCCCGGUGCUGGAAGGUUAAGGGGAUCUGUUAGAGCAAUCGAAGCAGUGAACUUAAGCCCCAGUAAACGGCGGCCGUAACUAUAACGGUCCUAAGGUAGCGAAAUUCCUUGUCGGGUAAGUUCCGACCCGCACGAAAGGCGUAACGAUUUGGGCACUGUCUCAACAACAGACUCGGUGAAAUUGUAAUUCCGGUGAAGAUGCCGGAUACCUGCGACAGGACGGAAAGACCCCAUGGAGCUUUACUGUAGCUUGACAUUGGGUCUUGGUACUACAUGUACAGGAUAGGUGGGAGGCUUUGAAACCAGGACGCCAGUUUUGGCGGAGCCAUCCUUGGGAUACCACCCUUGUAGUACUGGGACUCUAACCAUAGGCCAUGAAUCUGGUCUUGGGACACUGUCAGGUGGGCAGUUUGACUGGGGCGGUCGCCUCCCAAAAGGUAACGGAGGCGCUCAAAGGUUCUCUCAGUACGGUCGGAAAUCGUACGUAGAGUGUAAAGGCAAAAGAGAGCUUGAUUGCAAGACAUACAGGUCGAGCAAGGAUGAAAAUCGGACUUAGUGAUCCGGUGGUUCUGCGUGGAAGGGCCAUCGCUCAACGGAUAAAAGCUACCCUGGGGAUAACAGGCUUAUCUCCCCAAGAGUCCACAUCGACGGGGAUGUUUGGCACCUCGAUGUCGGCUCAUCACAUCCUGGGGCUGUAGUAGGUCCCAAGGGUUGGGCUGUUCGCCCAUUAAAGUGGUACGCGAGCUGGGUUCAGAACGUCGUGAGACAGUUCGGUCCCUAUCCGUCGCAGGCGUAGGAAAUUUGAGAAGACCUGUCCUUAGUACGAGAGGACCGGGAUGGACGUACCUCUGGUGUACCAGUUGUCCUGCCAAGGGCAUGGCUGGGUAGCUAUGUACGGAAUGGAUAAGCGCUGAAAGCAUCUAAGCGCGAAGCCAACUUCAAGAUAAGAUUUCCCACCGCAAGGGUAAGACCCCAGAAAGACUAUCUGGUUGA